rnacentral:rRNA from 1 species
UCCGGUUGAUCCUGCCGGAGGCUACUGCUAUUGGGAUUCGACUAAGCCAUGCGAGUCUAUGGACUUCGGUCCAUGGCGGACGGCUCAGUAACACGUGGUUAACCUACCCUUAGGUGGGGGAUAACCUUGGGAAACUGAGGAUAAUACCCCAUAGGAAAAGAGGUUUGGAAUAAUCCUUUUCUGAAAGGACAUCCGCCUAAGGAUGGGACUGCGUCUGGUUAGGUAGUUGGUGGGGUAAUGGCCCACCAAGCCUACAAUCAGUACGGGCCUUGAGAGAGGGAGCCCGGAGAUGGGGACUGAGACACGGCCCCAGGCCCUACGGGGCGCAGCAGGCGCGAAACCUCCACAAUGCACGAAAGUGCGAUGGGGGGAUCCCAAGUGCUUAUGCAAAGCAUAAGCUUUUCCCAAGUCUAAACAACUUGGGGAAUAAGGGCUGGGCAAGUCCGGUGCCAGCAGCCGCGGUAACACCGGCGGCCCAAGUGGUAGCCACUCUUAUUGGGCCUAAAGCGUCCGUAGCCGGUUUAGUAAGUCUCUGUUUAAAUCCUACGGCUUAACCGUAGGGCUGGCAGAGAUACUGCUAGACUUGGGACCGGGAGAGGAAGAGGGUACUUCAGGGGUAGCGGUUGAAUGCGUUGAUCCCUGAGGGACCACCUAU